rnacentral:rRNA from 1 species
UAAUACGUAGGUGGCAAGCGUUAUCCGGAUUUAUGGGCGUAAAGCGAGCGCAGGCGGUUUUUUAAGUCUGAUGUGAAAGCCUUCGGCUUAACCGAAGAAGUGCAUCGGAAACUGGGGAACUUGAGUGCAGAAGAGGACAGUGGAACUCCAUGUGUAGCGGUGAAAUGCGUAGAUAUAUGGAAGAACACCAGUGGCGAAGGCGGCUGUCUGGUCUGUAACUGACGCUGAGGCUCGAAAGCAUGGGUAGCGAACAGGAUUAGAUACCCUGGUAGUCCAUGCUGUAAACGAUGAAUGCUAGGUGUUGGAGGGUUUCCGCCCUUCAGUGCCGCAGCUAACGCAUUAAGCAUUCCGCCUGGGGAGUACGACCGCAAGGUUGAAACUCAAAGGAAUUGACGGGGGCCCGCACAAGCGGUGGAGCAUGUGGUUUAAUUCGACGCAACGCGAAGAACCUUACCAGGUCUUGACAUCCUAUGCCAACCUGAGAGAUCAGGCGUUCCCUUCGGGGACAUAGUGACAGGUGGUGCAUGGUUGUCGUCAGCUCGUGUCGUGAGAUGUUGGGUUAAGUCCCGCAACGAGCGCAACCCUUAUGGCUAGUUGCCAGCAUCAAGUUGGGCACUCUAGUAAGACUGCCGGUGACAAACCGGAGGAAGGAGGGGACGACGUCAAAUCAUCAUGCCCCUUAUGACCUGGGCUACACACGUGCUACAAUGGCCGGUACAACGAGUUGCGAACCCACGAGGGCAAGCUAAUCUCUUAAAGCCGGUCUCAGUUCGGACUGCAGGCUGCAACUCGCCUGCACGAAGUCGGAAUCGCUAGUAAUCGCGGAUCAGCAUGCCGCGGUGAAUACGUUCCCGGGCCUUGUACACACCGCCCGUCACACCAUGAGAGUUUGUAACACCCGAAGCCGGUGGGGUAACCUUUCGAGGAGCUAGCCGUCUAAGGUGGGACAGAUGAUUAGGGUGAAGUCGUAACAAGGUAGCCGUAGGAGAACCUGCGGCUGGAUCACCUCCUUUCUAA